AGGAUGAACGCUGGCGGCGUGCCUAAUACAUGCAAGUCGAGCGGUAAGGCUCUGCACUUAGUAUUUGAUCCGGGACUAGUCGAAGACUUGUCCCUAAGCCACUGUAUUGAUCGCUCUAGGCUAGAGUGUGAUACACGGGGGUAACAGAUCGAAUAAUAAGUGUAGAGUACACGAGCGGCGGACGGCUGAGUAACGCGUAGGAACGUACCCCAAAGUGAGGGAUAAGCACCAGAAAUGGUGUCUAAUACCGCAUGUGCUCUAAGGAGUAAAGCUUUAUGCGCUUUGGGAACGGCCUGCGUAUGAUUAGCUUGUUGGUGGGGUAACGGCCUACCAAGGCGACGACGGGUA
rnacentral:rRNA from 1 species